GACCUGAUGACUUAUCAGAGUGUCUGUUUCUUUCCAGAUAGAGUGAGUGAGAGGCUCAGGGGAGCUAGUGCCUGUUCAGCUCAGUGCCUGGAACACACAGGAUGCACAUUACAUAACAAAUGGCUUAUAUGACCCUUACUACGGAGAUCAGGCCUGUCAGUGUCCCGGGGCUGCUCUCACAAGUUCCGCAACCUGUAUGGCUUAAAACAACAGAAACUGAUUCUCUCGAAGUGCUGGAGGCUGCAAGUCUGAAAUCAAGGAAAUCUAACUUAGGUUGAAGAUUGACCCGAAAGCCCUUUGUUAUCAAGAGGAUUCUUUUAAUAUAGACAGUACCAAAGGAGGGGGAAACAAAGCUUUCCAAAAUAGAAGAAAUCCGAGGCAUUUUCAAGCAGGUAAGUUCUACCUGGCUGAGCCUUUCUUCUCAUUUUGAUUUAUUCUAAAGGAAUUAGUACGUCUUGGGGUGGAGACGAAAGGGGGAAGGAUUAGAGAGAAUGUGGCUUGUCUGGCUUGAGGUUGUUAGCCUCCAGCUAGAUGAGGUGGCUUGGGGUCACCAUCAUAGGCUGUUGGCCAUGAGCUCUCUCAGAGCAAGCUCACAGGGGAGGAACUCC
rnacentral:lncRNA from 1 species